rnacentral:tRNA from 1 species
AUAAAGAUUAAAGUAAAGCUUCUAACUUAACUUUUAGUGGUUAAAUUCCAUUAAUACUUUU